GCAAGUUGUUAAGUGCGAUCGGUGGAUGCCUUGGCACCAAGAGCCGAUGAAGGACGUUGUAACCUGCGAUAAGCCCUGGGGAGUUGGUAAACGAGCUGUGAUCCGGGGGUGUCCGAAUGGGGAAACCUGGAAUGUCCGGAGUAGUGUCCGGUGACCCUGCCCUGAAUGUAUAGGGGUGUGGGAGGUAACGCGGGGAAGUGAAACAUCUUAGUACCCGUAGGAAGAGAAAACAACCGUGAUUCCGUGAGUAGUGGCGAGCGAAAGUGGAUGAGGCUAAACCGUGUGUGUGUGUUCAAGCCGGCAGGUGUUGCAUGUGCGGGGUUGUGGGGGCCUUUUGGUUCUGCUGCCGCAGGAUUGGCCAGUGAUAAAUGUUGCGUGAAGGUGAAGCGUCUGGGAAGGCGUACCGGAGUGGGUGAGAGUCCCGUAACUGUAAGCGUGGCACUGGUGAGGGUUGCCCCAAGUAGCGUGGAACUCGUGGAAUUUCGCGUGAAUCUGGCGGGACCACCCGUCAAGCCUAAAUACUCCUUGGUGACCGAUAGUGUAUUAGUACCGUGAGGGAAUGGUGAAAAGUACCCCGGGAGGGGAGUGAAAUAGUACCUGAAACCGGUCGCAUACAAGCCGUCAGAGCCUUGUGGGGUGAUGGCGUGCCUUUUGAAGAAUGAGCCUGCGAGUUAGUGAUGCGUGGCGAGGUUAACCUGUGUGGGGGAGUCGUAGCGAAAGCGAGUCUGAUAAGGGCGUGAGUCGCGUGUUCUAGACCCGAAGCGGUGUGAUCUAUCCAUGGCCAGGAUGAAGCGUCGGUAAGACGUCGUGGAGGUCCGAACCCACUUCAGUUGAAAAUGGAGGGGAUGAGCUGUGGAUAGGGGUGAAAGGCCAAUCAAACACCGUGAUAGCUGGUUCUCCCCGAAAUGCAUUUAGGUGCAGCGUUGCGUGGUUCUUGUCGGAGGUAGAGCACUGGAUGGUCUAGGGGGCCUAUCAGCUUACCGAAAUCAGCCAAACUCCGAAUGCCGGCAAGUGGAGCGUGGCAGUGAGACGGCGGGGGAUAAGCUUCGUCGUCGAGAGGGAAACAGCCCAGAUCAUCAGCUAAGGCCCCUAAGUGGUAGCUCAGUGGAAAAGGAUGUGGAGUUGCGCAGACAGCCAGGAGGUUGGCUUGGAAGCAGCCAUCCUUGAAAGAGUGCGUAAUAGCUCACUGGUCAAGUGAUUCCGCGCCGACAAUGUAGCGGGGCUUAAGUUAUCCGCCGAAGCUGUGGCAAACCCGUUUUGCGGGUUUGGGUAGGGGAGCGUCCUGUACGAGGUGAAGCUGCCGGGUGACCGUGUGGUGGAUUGUGCGGGAGUGAGAAUGCAGGCAUGAGUAGCGAAUGACGGGUGAAAAACCCGUCCGCCGAUUAUCCAAGGGUUCCAGGGUCAAGUUAAUCUGCCCUGGGUGAGUCGGGACCUAAGGCGAGGCCGACAGGCGUAGUCGAUGGAUAACCAGUUGAUAUUCUGGUACCGGCUUGUCACCGUCCGUGUCGAGGUGUGUGAUGCUAAGCGUGCGAGCCUGCCAUUGUGAUGUCUUUGAUGUUGUGGUGGUGUGGUGAGUGUGUGAACCGAUCAUGUAGUAGGCAAGCUGCGGAGGGACGCAGGGAGGUAGCUCAUCCCCGGCGAUGGUUGUCCGGGGCUAAAUGUGUGGACCGUCUGGUAGGUAAAUCCGCUGGGCAUAUGGUUGAGGCAUGAUGGCGAGCCCACGUGUGUGGGUGAGUGAGUGAUCCUGUACUGUCGAGAAAAGCUUCGUGAGCGAGGUGGCUGGUCCGCCCGUACCCUAAACCGACACUGGUGGAUAGGUAGAGUAUACCGAGGCGAUCGAGAUCAUCAUGGUGAAGGAACUCGGCAAAAUGCCCCCGUAACUUCGGGAUAAGGGGGACCUGAACUGUUAAGGCCUGUACGGCUGGUAGCAGUGAGGGGCGCAGAGACCAGGGGGAAACGACUGUUUACCAAAAACACAGGUCCGUGCGAAGUCGUAAGACGAUGUAUACGGACUGACUCCUGCCCGGUGCUGGAAGGUUAAGGGGAACUGUUAGCGUUGGCGAAGCGGUGAACUUAAGCCCCAGUAAACGGCGGUGGUAACUAUAACCAUCCUAAGGUAGCGAAAUUCCUUGUCGGGUAAGUUCCGACCUGCACGAAUGGAGUAACGAUUUCCCUACUGUCUCCACCAUGAACUCGGUGAAAUUGCAGUACGAGUAAAGAUGCUCGUUACGCGCAGCAGGACGGAAAGACCCCGGGACCUUUACUAUAGUUUGGUAUUGGUGAUUGGGACGACUUGUGUAGGAUAGGU
rnacentral:rRNA from 1 species